rnacentral:lncRNA from 1 species
ACACCAGAAGCAAGCAAGAAGCCCCCAGCUAUAGAACUUUGAACGGGGCAGUGGAGAAGCCCCUACCCCUACCCCGGUCUGUGGAAGAGUCCUAUAUCACCAGUGAGCACUGCUACCAGAAGCCCCGUGCCUAUUAUCCUGCUGUGGAACAGAAGUUGGUGGUGGAGACACGCAGCUCUGCUCUUGAUAAUGCAGUCAACUCACUCCGUGAGAAUGGUGAUGAUUCCUUUUCCCCUCACCUGGGCUGGCCUCUGGACCAAGACAGGAACAGAGGGGACAGCGACCCCAGACCCAGUCCCCCAAAAGUGAGGGACUGUGUCUCCAAAAAGGUCCUACCAGAGGAAGCCCCUGCUCGGAAGCUGCUGGACAGAGGUGGAGAGGGGUUGGUGAGCUCCCAGCAUCAGUGGCAAUUUAACCUGCUGACACAUGUGGAAUCUCUUCAGGAUGAAGUCACACACAGGAUGGACUCCAUUGAGAAAGAACUGGACGGUAGGGCUCCUUCCUAAGCCCCCUGGUCAUUGGCAUGUACUCUGUCAUCCCUUCUGUCCCACAAGCUGCUUUUUUGCUUUGUUUUUGAAAAUGGGGUCUUUUUAUGUAGCCUAGGCUGAUUUUGAAUUUGUGAACUCAAGUGAUCCUCUUGCUUCAGUUUACUAAAUAGCUCAGACCAUAGGUGUGUUCCAUCAUACCUGGCUUAUGCUGAUUUCUGACCACCCCCCCACAAUCUGGCUAUCUGGGGACAGAUAUAUUCUAGCCUCUUGUUUUCAACCUCAUCCACCUUCAUUCUCCCAUAAAGGAGGACAAGCUUGACUUUUAGUGUUUAUUGGGUACUUAUAAAGUCUGAUGCUAUCAGGGAUUCAGCCCCUUCUUCAGAGGUGACUGUGGAGGGCAGUUGGGGGAGGUGAUGCCCAGUGGUAGAACAUGUGCUCAGCAUGCAAGAGGCCCUGAGUUCAACUCCCAGAACUACAAAAACAAAACAAAAUGGUACAUUAAAAAAAAAAAAAUGGUACAUACACAGAAGAAAACUGGACCCUGUUUGCAGGAAACAUGUUAUCUGAGUAAGUCUUUACUAACAAAGUUCUGUGAAGAAUUAUACUUUUGACUUGAAUUUUAGGAUGUAAUCUGAAAAUUCUUUUAUUUCAAACUUUGAUAAAAUCUAAAAUGAAUCCUUUUCCUCUUUAUCCAGUAGAGAUUUAAGUUAUUUGUAUACCCCUGGCUCUUUCGCCUAGAUUAUUGAUGAUAAUAGACGGACUUGGAGGACUGAACUUGUAAUGAUGAACAUGAUUAAGUUCAGUCCUUCUUUGCCUCAGGAAGACAAAAUUCAUUCAUUCAUUCUUUCUGUAUCUGUCUGCCCCCUUUCUUUUCUUUUCUCCCUCCCUCCCUCCCUCCCUCCCUUCCUUCCUUCCUUCCUCUUUUUGAGACAGGUCUCUCUAUGUAGUUCAGGCUGGCCUUGAACUGUGUAGUCCAGCCUGACCUCAAAAGUGCAGUGAUGGUUUUUGUUUCAGCCUCCUGAGUGCUGGAAUUACAGGCAUGCACCACUAUACCUGGUUUCUUGUUUACUUGUUUUCUGACUGUUCAUUUAAAAAAUGGAACCUAGUUUAGAAAUAAGUGUUCUGUUUGAGGAUUCUGGGUACAGUCAGGCUAUGAUGACUAUAACUGAGGAUAUAAAACAUAUGUAAAGUAGGGCUGGGGAUUUAAGCUCGGGGGCUCCACCUCCUUCCUUGAAAGCACAAGGUCCUGAGUUUGAUCCCCGGUACCAAAAAUACAUAUGUAAAGUAACAGAAAAAUGCCAUGUUAUACAAGCCAGGGCCAUGAGGUGUGGCCAGGACACCUGUGUGGCUGAGGCUAUACUAGGCAAAGAGAGUGCUGACAGAAAGCUUUCCUGGAACUCCUGGGGCUGAUGCCAAGCCUUGAAGGGAAGAAUAAUGUUUUCUGCUGGAGAGGGAGAGAGUCGGGAUAGAAGAUGAGAGGACCGAGUCAGUGGCUAAAAGGAGUCCCCUGGUGGAGGACAGAGAAAGAGAAAAGGAAAGAUAAACUCUGUGUCUUUGAGCUUAUGUCCUGCCCAUGAGGCAAGACUGAGGGCACUUCUGGAAGGAUGUUUCUGCCUCUUUUACUCCAAAAAGGUUCCUUUGGGCUUGUUGGAAGUGUAACUGAUGCCACUGUCGGUGAAAAACAUGUGAUUUUUUUUUUUUUUUUUUUGGUACCAGGGAUCGAACUCAGGUCCUUGCGCUUUUGAAGCAGGCAGCGAAACCACUGAGCUAAAUCCCUGGCCCAAAAACAUGUGAUUUUGAGAGAAUGGUAGAAUUGGCUCUGGGUCUCUGAGAGGAAGCUUAACGCCAUGGAAACAGGAUCAAUGUUCUGUUGUUGCCAAAGAAUCUGUCUGUAGGGGAGAAGUCAGACCCUGGGUAGAUCUUACCUCCCUCUACCCCUGGGCUCCCUCUAGCCUUCGUGGCCUGGUGAUUGGCAUCAUAUAUUCUUUAGGGAACUUUUUUUUUUUGUUGGUACUGGUAAUUGAACCCAGGACCUUCCACUUGCCAGGCAGGCUCGGUGCCACUGAGCUAAAUUCCGGGCCCUGGCAUCACAUAUUCUUAUGUGUUCUAGUACUCUAAGCCCUGAGAAGUAUAAAGGAAGGAUGAAAAUCAGUGAUAAAGCUUAAAGAUUUUAUUUAGGUAAACAGACUUGUGCAUUGUAUUUAGAUUCAUCAGAAUCCCUUUUAGGGAGUCAAAUCUUCAGUUCAUUUAAAAUAGUCAAUUUAGUAGGAGAGACAGGUAUUAAUGAAAUUAUCCCAUUACUAAUCAUUAGUAACCCUAGCACACAGUGCUGUAACCCUAGCACUCAGGAGGCUAAAGCAGGAGGAUCAGUAUGAGUUCAAGGCACGCCUGAGCUACGUAACAAGACCCUGUCUCAAAAAAAAAGAAAGAAACCAUGAAAAAUGCUCAAAGGAGUGUAUGAUACCAUAACACCAGUAACACAGAGUCCAGAUUCAGGGUGUAGAGUUUGGGAAGGCAUCCCUAAAGAGUAACUGCAGGGAGCAAAGGACACAGAGAAUAGAAAGGAAGGUAGGGUUUGUGUGGAGGGUUGGGGAUUGUAUGGCAGGUGGCAGGCUGCUUGAAGAAUGGGUGCUUGGAAGGUCUUCCCAUUUCUGAACUCCAGGGUCCCAAAGAUGCUCAGUACAGGUUGGUAUGUAGACUAGGAAGGCUGUAGGCAAGCUACACUAAGCACAGGGCGUGCCUUGGAGGGUUGGCUCUUGUCAAAGGUUCCUAGAUGGCCUCUCCACAAAUGCUACAGCUUCAGGGGUUACCUUGGUAACAGCUUUUUUUUUUUUGACAGCUUUUUAUAGAGAAACUCUUGUACUUACAAGCAAGACAACUUUCCAGAUAGUGAACCAAUUAUAAUCAAGUAUUUUAGUACCCAUAUAUCUUAUAUUAAAUUCUCAAAGGGAUGGGCUGGGGAUUUAGCUCAGCUGUGGAAUGCUAGCAAUCCUGAUGCCCAAGGUUUGGUUCCCAGUACUCAUCCCCCCAGUAAAUUAGGGAAAAUAAGAAUUAUGUAUCAAUCAGGAAUCAAUAUGAAGCAAACCAAAAGUGAUGGUAAAACAGACCCUUUUAAGUCCCUGUAGAUUUUCAUGUUUCUUGCUAGGUGUGGUAGUGUACACCUGUAAUCUCAGCACUCAAGAGGCUGAGGUAGGAGGAUUGCCAUGAGUUCAAGGCCAGCCUGGGCUACAUUGUGAUUCCAGGCCAGCCUGGAACACAUGGCAAGACCCUGUCUCAAAGCAAACAAAAAAAGAUUUUCAUUUUUCUUGACAGGAGGCUAAAACAUCAGGCUCUCUGAUUUCUAACAUGGAAAAGCUUUAGAAAGAGUGGGCAAUGACACUGAGAAAGGAGGGUGCUUCAAAGUCUUUUAAAAUAGCAACUAGCAAUGUGUGGCUACUUAAUUAAAACUGAAUAAAUUUUAAAGUUCAGGUCCUCAGUUGCACUAGGUCAUGUUUUGAGUGCUCAAUAGCUGCAUGUGGCCAGUAGCUACUGUGUUGGAUGGCACAAAUGUAGGACAUUUCUGUUAUCACAGGGUUCCUUUGAUUUAUGCUGGUGUGAAGUGUUUGAACUCUGUCCUGGGAGCAGUGGUUGUGGGGUAGGUGGUGCGACAUUGCCUGAAAUAGCCCUCGUUCCCCUCUCCCAUGUGUGGUUAGGUGGGAGAAGGAGCUGGAAACUCUUGCUGAGGUUCUUGCAAGUGUUGGGAGCUCACUGGGUCUUUCUUUUUGCCAACAGUGCUGGAGAGCUGGCUGGACUACACUGGGGAGCUGGAGCCCCCGGAGCCACUGGCCAGGCUUCCACAGCUCAAGCAUUGCAUCAAGCAGUUGCUGACAGACCUGGGCAAGGUGCAGCAGAUUGCUCUCUGCUGUUCCACAUGAAAUUGGGCACUCAAGACUAAUGAGGGCACAAUCCUAGGGUACCUGCAGGAAGAGCUUCGUAUAUUUAAAUAAACCUAGCAUGCUGAAUGCAAGUGAUAUCGACUGACUUCAGGGAUCUGGCCAGGAGUGUGAUGAACAUUGGACAAAGAGGCCAUUUUGGCUUUUGGAGGGCAGG